CAUAAACAUAUAAGAAUGUAUCAUAGCCACAUGAAAAAUAGUGAAUAACUUAACAGUUAUUUUUUCUACUUGAUCCAACAAGUGUUCAGCGUGCAGGAAAUAGAUCGAUAGCAUAUACCACUCAUUGUGUCUCCAAACUUGCUUACAUCAUGCAUUUAAUGGGAAGUUUUCUUCUUGUGAUGCAGCCUUGUGAGGAAGAUACUUGUCUGUCUCGUGUGACUAUGGUUUGUCUCCAGCCUCCCCUCACCUCUGGAAGUUACGAUCCUAGCAAGGGACAUUCACCAAAAGUAAAAGCAAGAAGUGAGUCACAGAAAAACCAGAGGGUGAGUGAGAUGAAUGUAUAAAAGCAUGAACUUUUGACCUAAGCAUUUUGGUGUUUAAGCUGGGCUAGAACUACAUCCUCAGAUGAUGUAUUCUAUGUUUUUGC
rnacentral:lncRNA from 1 species